rnacentral:rRNA from 1 species
GGAAAACUUACCAGGUCCAGACAUAGUGAGGAUUGACAGAUUGAGAGCUCUUUCUUGAUUCUAUGGGAGGUGGUGCAUGUCCAUUCUUAGUUGGUGGAGUGAUUUGUCUGGUUAAUUCCGUUAACAAACGAGACCCCCGCCUGCUAAAUAGGUCCGUGAAUGAAUUUCAUUGACGAGAUCUUCUUAGAGGGACUUUUGGUGACUAACCAAAGGAAGUUGGGGGCAAUAA